CCUAUCAAACCCUAUCAAACCCUAUCAAAAACCUGCCAAACCCAAUCAAAUCCUAUCAAACUCUAUCAAACCCUAUCAAAAGCUAUCAAACCCCAUCAAACUCCAUCAAAAACCUACCAAACCCUAUCAAACCCUAUCACACCUUAUCAAACACUAUCAAAACCCUAUCAAAUCCUAUCAAACUGUAUCACACCCUAUCAAACGCUAUCAUAACCCUAUCAAACCCUAUCAAACCUUAUCAAGCGCUAUCUAACCCUAUCAAAAUCCCAUCACACUCUAUCAAACCCUAUCAGAAACCCCAUCACACCCUAUCAAACGCUAUCAAACCCCUAUCAAACGCUCCCCCCACUCUUUCCCAGUCUCGCUGACGCUGGACGAGAGCUGCACCCACCCGGCCCUGCUGAUCCGGGGCCGAUCCUGGAUCUGCCCCAAUCCCGGAUCCCGAAUCCCCGGCCCCGAUCCCGGAUCCCAAAUCCCCGGCCCCGAUCCCGGAUCCCAAAUCCCCGGAUCCCAAAUCCCCGGCCCCGAUCCCGGAUCCCAAAUCCCUGGCUCCGAUCCCGGAUCCCAAAUCCCUGGCUCCGAUCCCAGAUCCCAAAUCCCUGGCUCCGAUCCCGGAUCCCGGCCCCGCCUCGGGGCCCUGGCCGUGACUCGGGAGGGAUUUUCCCACGGGAAGCAUUACUGGGAAGUGGAGCUGGGAGACGGCAGCGAUUGGGAGCUGGGCGUGCUCCCGCAGGAGGUCCGGGAUUCCAUCCGGGAUUCCAUCCGGGAUUCCAUCCGGGAUUCCCUGAGGGAUUCCCUGAGGGAUUCCCUGCAGGAUCCCACCCCAGAUUCCACCCUGGAUUCCAUCCCGGAUUCCCUGCAGGAUGAUUCCCUGAGGGAUGAUUCCCUGCGAGAUUCCAUUCGGGAUCCCAUCCCGGGUUCUCUGCAGGAUCCCCUGCGGAAUUCCACCCCAAAUCCCAUCCCGGAUCCCAUCCCGAAUUCCAUUCCAAAUUCCAUCCCGAAAUCGAUCCCAGAUCCCGUCCCCAAUUCCCUGCAGGAUCCCAUCCAAAAUUCCAUCCUGGACCCCAUCCGGGAUCCCAUCCCGAAUUCCAUCCCCAGUUCCCUGCGGGAUCCCAUCCCAGAUUCCAUCCUGGAUCCCAUCCUGGAUUCCAUCCUGGAUCCCAUCCCGAAUUCCAUCCCUGAUUCCCUGCAAGAUUCCAUUCAGGAUCCCAUCCCAAAUUCCAUCCUGAAUCCCAUCCCGGACCCCAUCUUGGAUCCUACCCCGAAUUCCCACCGGUACCAUCCCAUCCCCUCCAUCCCAAAUCCCACCCUGAAUUCCCACCAGGAUCACCCCAUCCCCUCCAUCCCGGACCCCACCCCGAAUUCCCACCGCUACCACCCCCUCCCCUCCAUCCCGGACCCCACCCCAGGUUCCCACCGCUGCCCGUCCCUGGCGCGCUCCCGGGGCGAGCUCCGGCUCCGGGGCGCGCUCCUGCAGCGCAGCCCGGGGCGCUGCCGCGUGCUCGGGGUGCUGCUGGAUCUCGAGCGGCGCCGCCUCCGCUUCUUCGACGCCGAGGAGCGGCGGCUGCUGGGAUCGGCGGCCCUGGAAAGCCCAAACGGGAAUCUGUUCCCGUUCUUCAGGCCGGGAGCGGGCGGGAGCGGGCUGGGGAUCCGCCCCGUCAGGGCUUGAAACAGGGCUGGGGGAUAUUCGGGUGUGAAACUUAAAUUUUCAGGUCUUUAUUGUAAUUAUUCUCAUUUUAAAAUUCUGAUUGUCCCCUAGAAUAAACGCUUGUAAAUAUUCA
ensembl:lncRNA